UUCGACUGUUCUCUCAAUCUAGGGGACUUGAAGGCAUCGGAUUUACCACGAGUGUGAAUUCUCCGACAAGGGUUGUCGACUUAUAGAGCCACCUACAGGAGAGGCUAGGGAUCACGGCAAGGGAAUCGCGUCUAGCUAGACCUAGCUUGCGGUUUUACUAGGUGAUCACCUUGCUACUCAUGCCACGGCCGAGGGUGAUGUACCCGUGUAUAGAGAGACUAUCAUUGUAUAUGUAUUUUGAGUAGCCCUGUGA